GGGGAUUUAGCUCAGCGGCAUAAGCACCUGCCUUGCAAGCAGGCAGUGCUGAGUUCCAUCCCCA
rnacentral:tRNA from 1 species